CAUGCCAAGUCGACGAUGAACCACUUCGGUGGGGAUUAGUGGCGAACGGGUGAGUAACACGUGGGCAAUCUGCCCUGCACUCUGGGACAAGCCCUGGAAACGGGGUCUAAUACCGGAUACUGACCUGCCAAGGCAUCUUGGCGGGUCGAAAGCUCCGGCGGUGCAGGAUGAGCCCGCGGCCUAUCAGCUUGUUGGUGAGGUAAUGGCUCACCAAGGCGACGACGGGUAGCCGGCCUGAGAGGGCGACCGGCCACACUGGGACUGAGACACGGCCCAGACUCCUACGGGAGGCAGCAGUGGGGAAUAUUGCACAAUGGGCGAAAGCCUGAUGCAGCGACGCCGCGUGAGGGAUGACGGCCUUCGGGUUGUAAACCUCUUUCAGCAGGGAAGAAGCGAAAGUGACGGUACCUGCAGAAGAAGCGCCGGCUAACUACGUGCCAGCAGCCGCGGUAAUACGUAGGGCGCAAGCGUUGUCCGGAAUUAUUGGGCGUAAAGAGCUCGUAGGCGGCUUGUCACGUCGGUUGUGAAAGCCCGGGGCUUAACCCCGGGUCUGCAGUCGAUACGGGCAGGCUAGAGUUCGGUAGGGGAGAUCGGAAUUCCUGGUGUAGCGGUGAAAUGCGCAGAUAUCAGGAGGAACACCGGUGGCGAAGGCGGAUCUCUGGGCCGAUACUGACGCUGAGGAGCGAAAGCGUGGGGAGCGAACAGGAUUAGAUACCCUGGUAGUCCACGCCGUAAACGGUGGGGCACUAG
rnacentral:rRNA from 1 species